CCUACGGGAGGCAGCAGUGGGGAAUAUUGCACAAUGGGGGAAACCCUGAUGCAGCGACGCCGCGUGAGUGAAGAAGUAAUUCGUUACGUAAAGCUCUAUCAGCAGGGAAGAAAAUGACGGUACCUGAGUAAGAAGCCCCGGCUAACUACGUGCCAGCUGCCGCGGUAAUAAGUAGGGUGCAAGCGUUAUCCGGUAUUCCUGGGUGUAAGGGGAGCUUAGACGGUACGCGAAGUCUUGAGGGAACUGCCGCAGUUUAACUGCGGAACUGCUUUGGAAACUGGCGAACUAGAGGGCGAGAGGGGUAAGCGGAACUCCUAGUGUAGCGGUGAAAUGCGUAGAUAUUAGGAGGAACACCGGUGGCGAAGGCGGCUUACUGGACCGUAACUGACGUUGAGGCUCGAAAGCGUGGGGAGCAAACAGGAUUAGAUACCCUGGUAGUC
rnacentral:rRNA from 1 species